AUUAAACGCUGGCGGCAUGCCUUACACAUGCAAGUCGAACGGUAGCGCGGGGCAACCUGGCGACGAGUGGCGAACGGGUGAGUAAAGCAUCGGAACGUGCCCUGGAAUGGGGGAUAACGUAGCGAAAGUUACGCUAAUACCGCAUAUUCUGUGAGCAGGAAAGCAGGGGAUCGCAAGACCUUGCGUUCUGGGAGCGGCCGAUGUCGGAUUAGCUAGUUGGUGGGGUAAAAGCCUACCAAGGCGACGAUCCGUAGCGGGUCUGAGAGGAUGAUCCGCCACACUGGGACUGAGACACGGCCCAGACUCCUACGGGAGGCAGCAGUGGGGAAUUUUGGACAAUGGGCGCAAGCCUGAUCCAGCCAUUCCGCGUGCAGGAUGAAGGCCUUCGGUUGGUAACUUAGCUUUUGUACGGACGAAACGGCGAGCUCUAAUACAGUUUGCUAAUGACGGUACCGUAA
rnacentral:rRNA from 1 species